AUGCUUGCUUCCUCACCACAUAUACUAAAAUUGGAGCAAUCCAGAGAUUAGCAUGGCGUGGCUCCUGCACAAGGAUGACAUGCAAAUCUGAUAAGCAUUCCAUAUUUAU
ensembl:snRNA U6 U6 spliceosomal RNA